UACAGAGACUGCAAGCGUUACUCGGAUUCACUGGGCGUAAAGGGAGCGCAGGCGGACCGGUGUGUCAGAUGUGAAACCCCAGGGCUCAACCCUGGGACUGCGUCUGAAACUGCCGGUCUAGGGACUCGGAGGGGCUAAUGGAAUUCCUGGUGGAGCAGUGGAAUGCGUAGAUAUCAGGAGGAACACCAACGGCGAAGGCAGCUAGCUGGACGAGAUCCGACGCUCAGGCUCGAAAGUAUGGGGAGCAAAAAGG
rnacentral:rRNA from 1 species